rnacentral:rRNA from 1 species
AUUGAACGCUGGCGGCAUGCUUUACACAUGCAAGUCGAACGGUAACAGGGUGCUUGCACCGCUGACGAGUGGCGAACGGGUGAGUAAUGCGUCGGAACGCACCGAGUAAUGGGGGAUAACGCAGCGAAAGCUGUGCUAAUACCGCAUACGCUCUGAGGAGGAAAGCGGGGGACCUUCGGGCCUCGCGUUAUUCGAGCGGCCGACGUCUGAUUAGCUAGUGGGUGGGGUAGGGGCUCACCUAGGCGAAGAUCAGUAGCGGGUCUGAGAGGAUGAUCCGCCACACUGGGACUGAGACACGGCCCAGACUCCUACGGGAGGCAGCAGUGGGGAAUUUUGGACAAUGGGCGCAAGCCUGAUCCAGCCAUGCCGCGUGUCUGAAGAAGGCCUUCGGGUUGUAAAGGACUUUUGUCAGGGAGGAAAUCCUUAGCGCUAAUACCGUUGAGGGAUGACAGUACCUGAAGAAUAAGCACCGGCUAACUACGUGCCAGCCGCCGCAGUAA